UGGGGAAUAUUGCACAAUGGGGGAAACCCUGAUGCAGCGACGCCGCGUGAACGAAGAAGGUAUUCGUAUCGUAAAGUUCUGUCCUAUGGGAAGAUAAUGACAGUACCAUAGAAGAAAGCUCCGGCUAAAUACGUGCCAGCAGCCUCGGUAAUACGUAUGGAGCGAGCGUUGUCCGGAAUUAUUGGGCGUAAAGGGUACGCAGGCGGUUUAAUAAGUCGAAUGUUAAAGAUCGGGGCUCAACCCCGUAAAGCAUUGGAAACUGAUAAACUUGAGUAGUGGAGAGGAAAGUGGAAUUCCUAGUGUAGUGGUGAAAUACGUAGAUAUUAGGAGGAAUACCAGUAGCGAAGGCGACUUUCUGGACACCAACUGACGCUGAGGCUCGAAAGCGUGGGUAGCAAACAGG
rnacentral:rRNA from 1 species